rnacentral:rRNA from 1 species
UACGGAGGGUGCAAGCGUUAUCCGGAAUUACUGGGCGUAAAGCGUCUGCAGGCGGUUUAAUAAGUCAACUGUUAAAUCUUGAGGCUCAACCUCAAAAUCGCAGUCGAAACUAUUAGGCUAGAGUAUAGUAGGGGUAAAGGGAAUUUCCAGUGGAGCGGUGAAAUGCGUAGAGAUUGGAAAGAACACCGAUGGCGAAGGCACUUUACUGGGCUAGUACUAACACUCAGAGACGAAAGCGAGGGUAGCAAAUGGG